GACCUUGUGGCACAACAAUAGUUUGUCUGACUCCAGAUCAGAAGGCUGUGUGUUCAAAUCACACCAGGGUCA